rnacentral:rRNA from 1 species
UUAAUGAUACCUCGGGUUGAAUUAAUGAAUGGACAGUGGCGGACGGGCGAGUUAACGCGUGAGUAACCCUGCCCAUAAGUNAGGGAUAGCCCAUGGAAACGUGGAGUAAUACCUCAUAUUUGUAUAUUAACUGGCAUGGUUGAUAUAUCGAAAGAUUUAUCGGCUUAUGGAUGGACUCGCGUCUGAUUAGAUAGUUGGUGAGGUAAACGGCUCACCAAGUCGACGAUCAGUAGCCGAACUGAGAGGUUGAAACGGCCACAUUGGGACUGAGACACGGCCCAGACUCCUACGGGAGGCAGCAGUGGGGGAUAUUGCACAAUGGAGGAAACUCUGAUGCAGCAACGCCGCGUGAGGGAAGAAGGUCUUCGGAUUGUAAACCUUUGUCCUUAGUGACGAAUAAAUGACGGUAGCUAAGGAGGAAGCCACGGCUAACUACGUG